GCUCUCCCCCGUCACCGACUUCAGGGAAGCCUGCUGCCGCCAGUAUGAGAUGGGGGAGUGUACCAGAGGAGGCUUCUGCAACUUCAUGCACCUGAAACCCAUAUCGCGGGAACUUCGACGGGAGUUGUACGGCCGCCGCAGGAAAGGGCCUGACCCUGGCUCGCGCCCCAGGGAACGUCGCUCCCGAUCCAAGGACCGGCGGCGGGACCGCGAGAGGCCGAGAAGGUCGAGGGACCGAGAGCGCUCCGGACGAUUCUG